CUCGGGUCUUCAGUAGAACCGUUAUCGGGCUUGUAGCCCGGCCCACUUUCACCCAAACUCCGGAUUCUGCCCAGUGCUGAUAUUGCAGCAGCUAAAACACGAAAGAGAGGGAACGUAGAAGCCUCUCCAAUUUCAUCGCAGCCGAUCCCCGCUCGUUUUCUCAUCUAGGGCAAGAUCUCGGUCUCAAAUAUCGGAACCGAUCUGAAAUUCCUUUGGAUGUGAUUCCGUUCUUCAACUGAAUCAUGGGUAGUAGUGAGACAGAUACACCGGCAAAGGCAUCGAAGACAACGAUGGCGACGACAGCAGCAUCUGCGGCACAGGAGCAGGCUCCAAUGACUAGCGCUGCAAUGGCUUAUCCUGACUGGGCUGGAUUUCAGGCAUAUUCCCCUGUUCCACCACCUGGGUUCUUUCAUUCAUCGGUGGCAUCAAGCCCCCAAGCUCAUCAUCCUUACAUGUGGGGAGCUCAGCAAUUUAUGCCUCCAUAUGGGACCCCACCACAUCCGUACGUUGCGAUGUAUCCUCAUGGCGGGUUAUAUGCUCAUCCAUCCAUCCCACCGGGGUCUCAUCCAUUCAGUCCAUAUGCUAUGCCUUCACCAAAUGGCAACACCGAGGCUUCUGGCAUGGAAAUGGAUGGUAAGUCAUCUGAAGGUAAGGAAAAGGGACCCAUGAAGAGAUCAAAAGGAAGUUUAGGCAGCUUGAAUAUGCUUAUGGGCAAGGAUAACAGUGAGCCGGGUAAAACAUCUGGAGCAUCUGGGAAUGGAUUUGUCUCCCAAAGUGGUGACAGUGCAAGUGAAGGUUCCAGUGAAGGAAGUGAUGCCAACUCUCAGAACGACACACAACAGAAGGCAAGCGAUGAGAAAGAUUCUUUGGAAGCUGAGGCGUCUAAGAAUGGGAGUUCCGUCCGUGGUCCUCAGAAUGGUGUGGCUCGCAGUCCAUCACAAACAAUGUUGAAUCAAACAAUGCCUGUCAUGCCAAUGGCAACACUUGGUGGUCCAGGAGGUGUUGCUGGCCCUACGACAAACUUAAAUAUUGGGAUGGACUAUUGGGCUGGACCAACUGCACCAUCUAUGUCUUUGCUGCAUGGGAAAGUUCCCACUGCACCAGCUGGGGGUGCAAUGGUUCCUACUGGUCUUGUUGGACCCCGUGAGCCAUCGGAGCUUCUGCUACAGGAUGAAAGAGAACUGAAAAGACAGAGAAGAAAGCAAUCAAACAGAGAAUCAGCACGUAGGUCCCGGUUGCGCAAGCAGGCAGAGUGUGAAGAGCUGGCCCAGCGUGUUGAAGUUCUGAAAGACGAAAACACUUCUCUCAGAUCAGAAGCAAGUCGCAUGAGGAAUGAGUAUGAACAGCUUGUUGCACAGAAUACCUCUCUCAAGGAGAGACUAGGGGAAAUCCCUAGAGGGCACAAAGAUUCAAGAUCUGACAUGAACAACCAGCAUCCCAGCCAUCUCAAUCAUCACAGAAACCUGGAAUCUGGCAUGCAAGCAGCAGGGGAAACAGAGCUUGAGCACAGUGGUCACUGAGACCAAGCCUGCUUCAGAUAAAUUUCCUUGAGCAUAACCUAGCCAAUUGUCUUUGUGGGAGCCACUACUUAAACACUCUUUUUUGACACAUGCAUACUUUCUUUCUACUGCUGGUAAUAGAAUAGUGUGAACUUUUUCUACUGUAUUUCCAAAAGUAGGAAAAUGGGUGCAUGUAUCCAAAAGGAAGGGUGUAAAUAUCAAUUCCCUAUCUGCAUAUCCUUUUGUAGCAUGUUGGUAACAAUUAAAAUCCGUUGCAGUUGAUUGUUGCUAGGUUGCAGUGUCAUCAGUGCUUACCUCCCUAGUUAUGGGUUCGGUUGACUACACCUGUCAUUAUCGUUUCAACUGAUCUUUAACAGUCGAAGCUCAGGCCAGAGAUGUAGGAUCAGAACCCUGUCUUACAAAUUUUUGUUGCAGUAAGGAUGAUCGUGAUUUUAUCUCAUCUUCCCUUCUAUGUUUUGGUAUUUUGGAGGUACUCAUUACCUGGCAAAGCAAUUAGACAAACAUAGAGUUCAAAUGAAGAAAUUGAUCCUGCCAGACAGACGGUACUGAACCUUGAUAUCAGGGCAUGGGAUUUUCUUGCAUUAUGCUGUGAUCUUGUUGAAUAAUCAGACUGAGAUGCAAAUGAUAAUGGUCAACCAUGUAGUCUCCAGGCCUCAAUUCGACCAGACAACUGGGAUACAUGCAAACAGCUACAGCAGAUUAUUGCCACGCUUUGGAGAUCUGCACUCUGCUAAAUCUGAAAUUCUACCAAUGACAGUAUCAAACAGGAUGCUAUUGUGCUGAAUAGUCCUCCAUGAAGCAGAGCAGUCGAACCAGAUUUUUGUGGCCUUGGAUUUAAAUCAACUGGUGGUGGGGUAACUACAGGCGUCAGAUUUAGGGGACCCGGCGGAGUUGGAAAAUCUUGUGAGGGAGCUUCUGGCGCAGCGGCAAUUUGAGGACUUGAAGAAAAGCAGAUGUUUGGGCUGAUAAUCCGUACAUUGUUGAGGUAAAAGCUUCUCCUGCCAUUGUUAGAGAUUCUGAGCAUGAAACCUGGCUUCCGAGUAGGAAUUAUGGAUCCGGUUGGGAAAUGCUCAAGGUGAUCAAAGAGCAGCGGCGAAGGGAUGGAAUGCUGUGACAGGAAGUCAAGAACUCCAUUCUCGGGCACUGCUACCUUCGACAGCAGCCGAUCGUGGGGCAUCAGGAAGGUGACAUUUGCCGGUAUUCUGUCCUGCAGCAUAUUAAUCAGCGUCACAAAGGGUUGCGUGUUCACAUGCUUCUUUGCUGCUUCAACAACUAAGGUCAUGCACGCUGCAUGUUCGGGGUCUCUUACAUCAAAGGAUUUAAUAUGUGAAUUGAGAAGCCGCAGUAAGUAGCAGUUAAGGAUUGCUCAUUUAAAUUUCAAUUUUUUUAAUAAUUUUAUUUCAGAAGCUCCAUUGCUAACUGUGACUGAAUUUUCUUUCUUUUCUUCUUUGGUAGAAAUGUAUCUGGUUUUUUCUA